AUUGAACGCUGGCGGCAGGCCUAACACAUGCAAGUCGAGCGGAUGAAGGGAGCUUGCUCCUGGAUUCAGCGGCGGACGGGUGAGUAAUGCCUAGGAAUCUGCCUGGUAGUGGGGGAUAACGUCCGGAAACGGGCGCUAAUACCGCAUACGUCCUGAGGGAGAAAGUGGGGGAUCUUCGGACCUCACGCUAUCAGAUGAGCCUAGGUCGGAUUAGCUAGUUGGUGGGGUAAAGGCCUACCAAGGCGACGAUCCGUAACUGGUCUGAGAGGAUGAGCAGUCACACUGGCACUGAGACACGGUCCAGACUCCUACGGGGGGCAGCAGUGGGGAAUAUUGGCCCAUGGGCGCAAGCCUGGUCCAGCCAUGCCGCGUGUGUGAAGAAGGUCUUCGGAUUGUAAAGCACUUUAAGUUGGGAGGAAGGGCAGUAAGUUAAUACCUUGCUGUUUUGACGUUACCAACAGAAUACGCACCGGCUAACUUCGUG
rnacentral:rRNA from 1 species